rnacentral:rRNA from 1 species
CCUACGGUGGCUGCAGUAGGGAAUCUUCCACAAUGGGCGAAAGCCUGAUGGAGCAACGCCGCGUGGGUGAAGAAGGUCUUCGGAUCGUAAAACACUGUUGUUAGAGAAGAAAGUGCGUGAGAGUAACUGUUCACGUUUCGACGGUAUCUAAACAGAAAGCCACGGAUAACUACGUGCCAGCAGCCGCGGUAAUACGUAGGUGGCAAGCGUUAUCAGGAUUUAUUGGGCGUAAAGGGAACGCAGGCGGUCUUUUAAGUCUGAUGUGAAAGCCUUCGGCUUAACCGGAGUAGUGCAUUGGAAACUGGGAGACUUGAGUGCAGAAGAGGAGAGUGGAACUCCAUGUGUAGCGGUGAAAUGCGUAGAUAUAUGGAAGAACACCAGUGGCGAAAGCGGCUCUCUGGUCUGUAACUGACGCUGAGGUUCGAAAGCGUGGGUAGCAAACAGGAUUAGAUACCCUUGUAGUC